CGAACGCUGGCGGCGUGCCUAAUACAUGCAAGUCGAGCGAGCGGAACCAACAGAUUUACUUCGGUAAUGACGUUGGGAAAGCGAGCGGCGGAUGGGUGAGUAACACGUGGGGAACCUGCCCCUAAGUCUGGGAUACCAUUUGGAAACAGGUGCUAAUACCGGAUAAUAAAGCAGAUCGUAUGAUCAGCUUUUGAAAGGCGGCGUAAGCUGUCGCUAAGGGAUGGCCCGCGGUGCAUUAGCUAGUUGGUAAGGUAACGGCUUACCAAGGCGACGAUGCAUAGCCGAGUUGAGAGACUGAUCAGCCACAUUGGGACUGAGACACGGCCCAAACUCCUACGGGAGGCAGCAGUAGGGAAUCUUCCACAAUGGACGCAAGUCUGAUGGAGCAACGCCGCGUGAGUGAAGAAGGUUUUCGGAUCGUAAAGCUCUGUUGUUGGUGAAGAAGGAUAGAGGUAGUAACUGGCCUUUAUUUGACGGUAAUCAACCAGAAAGUCACGGCUAACUACGUG
rnacentral:rRNA from 1 species